ACCAGCUGACGAGUUCUAAAUAGGACGAAAUGCACGUCCUAUAU
rnacentral:hammerhead_ribozyme from 1 species